rnacentral:rRNA from 1 species
GAUGAACGCUAGCGAUAGGCUUAACACAUGCAAGUCGAGGGGCAGCAUGGUCUUAGCUUGCUAAGGCUGAUGGCGACCGGCGCACGGGUGCGUAACGCGUAUGCAACUUGCCUCACAGAGGGGGAUAACCCGUCGAAAGACGGACUAAUACCGCGUACACUCUAUGUUGGGCAUCCAAUGUAGAGGAAAUGAAAUUCGCUGUGAGAUAGGCAUGCGUCCCAUUAGCUAGUUGGUGAGGUAACGGCUCACCAAGGCGACGAUGGGUAGGGGAACUGAGAGGUUGAACCCCCACACUGGUACUGAGACACGGACCAGACUCCUACGGGAGGCAGCAGUGAGGAAUAUUGGUCAAUGGGCGAGAGCCUGAACCAGCCAAGUCGCGUGAAGGAUGACUGUCUUAUGGAUUGUAAACUUCUUUUAUACGGGAAUAACAAGAGUCACGUGUGGCUCCCUGCAUGUACCGUAUGAAUAAGUAUCGGCUAACUCCGUG